CUCAUGCCUUGCUGCUGCACACAGAAGCAGGAUAUGCACAGGAUUGUUAAUCUCAUCUUGGACCUUCCUGCACGUGUGACUGUGACAGAUGCUUCUGUGUAGAACCUGAGUGAUUUUACUCUCCUGUCUGGAUUUAACCCACAGAUGAAUCGUGACAUAUCGCUGGACCAGAAACUAGAGAAGAUUGUGACAUCACUGGACCCAGCAAUUAGAAAAUGUUUCUCUCCUGCCUGAGCCUUGCCCACAAGAACAUUGUGACAUAUCCUUGGGCUCAGCACCCAGGUGAUGGAACUCUACCACCUGUGCCCUGUCUACUUAGGCUAUUGUGAAGUAUAGCUGGUUUCAAUACCCAGGUGAUGUAACUCUCCU
rnacentral:lncRNA from 1 species